rnacentral:rRNA from 1 species
AGUGAACGCUGGCGGCAGGCCUAACACAUGCAAGUCGAGCGGCAGCGGGUCCUUCGGGAUGACGGCGAGCGGCGGACGGGUGAGGAAUGCAUCGGAAUCUGCCCUGUCGUGGGGGAUAACCUAGGGAAACUUAGGCUAAUACCGCAUACGACCCACGGGUGAAAGCGGGGGAUCGCAAGACCUCGCGCGAUAGGAUGAGCCGAUGUCCGAUUAGCUAGUUGGCGGGGUAAAGGCCCACCAAGGCGACGAUCGGUAGCUGGUCUGAGAGGAUGAUCAGCCACACUGGGACUGAGACACGGCCCAGACUCCUACGGGAGGCAGCAGUGGGGAAUAUUGGACAAUGGGCGCAAGCCUGAUCCAGCCAUGCCGCGUGGGUGAAGAAGGCCUUCGGGUUGUAAAGCCCUUUUGUCCGGGAAGAAAUCGUCUGGGCUAAUACCCCGGGCGGAUGACGGUACCGGAAGAAUAAGCACCGGCUAACUUCGUG